AGACCCUGGUCUGCACUCUGUCUGGAAACUUACAGAAGGGAGAGCAGGGCAGGGUUUCC
rnacentral:pre_miRNA from 1 species